rnacentral:rRNA from 1 species
UACGGGGGGGGCAAGCGUUGUUCGGAAUUACUGGGCGUAAAGGGCUCGUAGGUGGCCAACUAAGUCAGACGUGAAAUCCCCAGGCUCAACUUGGGAACUGCGUCUGAUACUGGAUGGCUUGAAUUCGGGAGAGGGAUGCAGAAUUCCAGGUGUAGCGGUGAAAUGCGUAGAGAUGUGGAGGAAUACCGAUGGCGAAGGCAGCCUCCUGGGCCAACACUGACGCUCAUGCACGAAAGCGUGGGGAGCAAACAGG